GCGGGCGUGGCCUAUUGGUUGGGCAUCGGAUCGCCGGUCCGAGCAACGGAGUUCGAUUCUCCGCGCCCGCUCCA
rnacentral:tRNA from 1 species